CCGACGGGGAGACUGGGCGCGCGGCCCGCUCGCUCUGCCGCGGACUGGGCUGCCGUCGCGCGGGCGAGGGACCCCCGACCCGAUAGCUCUCCCGUCCCCACCCGGAAGGAGCAGCCCCGCGGGAGACGAGGCCGGCUCAGAGGGGCUCCCGAGGCUCCGCUGAGGUGGUGACCUCCCCUGGAGGGCCCAGACUUCUUGGCCAUCUUCUGGCUGCACACUGGGAACCAGACUUUGGCAGAUCUGAGGAAGCUUCUGUUUUCCUCUCUUGCCCUCUCUGUGCAUUCACGAAGCUGAAUCUAGGCAUGACUGAGUGACUUGCCCAAGUACUUCGGAUAUGUCAUCCGUUGCCUUCCUGCCCCCAUGUUUUCUGAAGAAAAAAACAGCUUUUAAUCAUAUUGAGUAUCCUUUGUAUGUGAUCAGUCGCUUCUCUCGUGUUGCUUUCAAAAUUCUGUCUUUAUUCUGUCUUUUGACAGUUUAUAUUUCAGUAUGGAUCUCUAUGAGUUUUUACCACAUGGAGUUUGUUGAUCCUCCUGGAUGCAUAAAUUAAUGUUUUGUUGUUGUUGUUUUUUACCAAACCGGGGAGUUUUCAGCUUUUAUUUCUUCAAAUAUUCUUUUUCCCUCUUUCCUACUCUUUUCUCUUUCAGAUUUUCCCAUUGUGCAUAUAUUGAUAUGUUUGAUGAUAAUCCACAGGCCUCUGAGGCUCUGUUCAUUUUUUUUUUUCUACUUGCUCUUCCCCAGACUGAAAAAUCUCAAUUGACCUAUAUUCAAGUUCACGGAUUCUUUACUCUGCCUGCUUAAAACUGCUAUUGAGCCUCUAG